CUCAGAAAAAAAACCUCUCCCCACCCACUCUCUCCCCCUCCAAACCACUCACUCUAUCCCCCUCCUCCGCCCACCGCGCCGCCAACCACAUGCGUCUCCCAACUACGCCGCCGCCGCCGCUAUCGCCGCCCUCCUGCGCUGCUGCCUAGGCGUCGUGGUCUGCCACUCGCCGCCGCUGGACGGCUGGAGAUUGUCGGCACCCAAGUGCCGCCCAUGCUCUGGCGCUUGCACGCCGCCGGCCCUGCCCCAUCCCACUCUCCGCCACCACCUUCCCCACCCCGAGCUCAGAUUUACGACGCCCACUGCCUUCCAGUUCGAGCUCCGCCUCGACCUCAUCCCUGCUGCCACUGUCUUCCCUGAACCAAGGAAGCCCUCAUCUGAUACGCUCUCAUCCGCGACGUGCUUCUCCAAUCAUUGGUACGCGACGGUGGUUUGGUCCGGAAGGUGGCUCCUGCAAUCCUGGCGUCGCCGUAGCGGUGGUUCCAUUCCGGCGGCAUUAGGGGAGCACACAGCGUCCACGUGCAGCAAGCAGAGCCGGCCAAUGAUUUAGCAGCGCCGGCCAUGAGGAGACGCCUGCCGUGGUUGACGCGAAGACAACAGCCGUGGGCAUGGAAGACGGUUUUGGAUCUUGUGAGCCGCCGCCGCUGCCGUACAGAAAGUCAACGUCGGCCUUCUACUGCUCCAUGUCCAACAAGUCGCCCAUGAGGCGUCAGUGUGGCAUUGCUAGCUCCAGCUUCCCCCUGCAAUCAUCUCUGCCGCCGGCACUUGCACGCAAUCAUGCUGGUUUCUGUAGUUCAAGAUCAAAGGCAAGAAUCAGCCAAAUAUGAUGAUGAGAACAACGCUAAUGAUGGAGAACCUUUAUCUAUCGAAGCUGAGAAGUCUAUUGGGAAUACUAAAUUUCAAUGCGCAUCCUAAGUUUCAGUUACCUGAAAUCAAGGCCAGUUUCAUUCGAUGCCGAAGUAAACUACCACAUACGUGAUGACCAUGAGAAAAUCCAUGCACUUCAAUUGGACAUGAGUUUUCUGCCACGUAAUUAAUGAUGCACUUCAUGUGAUAGAACUGUAAGAUCAGUACUUCUAUCUACUCUAUUCAUCACAUCUACACUUCUGUUUAUUCAUUCUAUGAGCUCUCUAUUUAAGAGAAACAACAGAGACUACUGUUUAAGAAUAAUAGUCUUUUCAAUUAAAUGCUGAAGUAUGUGUUUCCUGCAUGCACCCACAAGUUAUUCAAGAAAAACUAAUUAAUGCCUUAAACUUAAAAGUAUCUCAUGGCCACAACAAACAGUUCACUCAAAAUUAAAACAGGAACUACUUUAUACCGGUCCGUGGCUCUGGCUAGACCAUUUUAAGCAGCACGGAGGUACGCGUCUCCAGAAUUGAAGGCAUCAAAUGCCUCUGGUGAGAAGCAAGCAUCACGGAGUACGGCCCAGCGACGCCUAUGAUUCAUGGCACUCUCCACUUCUGAAUUUGUAACGGAUAGUCUAUCCGCAUCCUCUGUAGGGGGAGUAUCCAGCGUCCGCCCCAUGUCAGCUUCCGCCCCUAUGUCCGGUCCUGGAGCCCGACUGGUGGAAGCAUGAUUGGCAGCCUCACCGGACAUAUUCCGGCGAGCGUUUUUUCUACUAAAGAAACAUGGACGUCAUUACAUU